GGUUUUUCUGUGCAGCAGCCUUUCCAAGUCGCAGGGAUCCCAGACCGAUAAACAAUGUGGUCGAUGCCGUUGGAUCCUUCAUGUCGUCAAUGGCUUUAAGCCAAUGAUUUUGAAAGCAAAACAUUUAUUCAGCCUUUGAAACAAUACUGUUGGGAUUAAUGCUACUGUGGUCCAGGAAUAUACUCUGCAGCCUCUUUCUGCAGAGUGCAAUGGGAACACCAUUCAGAUCGUAUCACAGUGCAACGCUCUGAAGGCGUAGUGAAUCAUCUCAUACCCACUGUCCCAGCAAACGGCAAUUUAAUGCUUACCCUCAGAAGCUGUCCUGCCUGUAGAAGAUAAAAAGAGGAGCCUGGGCCAUCUAACAAGGUUAAAGGAAAGUGAUAUUCCUAUGGAUUCAUUCUUAGUCCAGACAGAAUGUUACUUUCACUUGUAUAAUGUAAUU